GAUAUUUUACUGUAGUUGCGCUCGUGGAAUGAAAGAGACAAGAAUUUACACAAACAAAAUGCAUUUGUUUUCCUCGUUUGCUUUAUGCGUUGAUUUUGUUCACUUCUGUACAACAUCUAAUCGCUGGAAGAGUCUUUUGUGUAAACAUUUAUUAAAAAAGUGGAAAAGAAUUAAUAAAUAAAUCAAAUUAAUAUAAACAGACUCCGUAAGAGUGAAAGGGAAGCUAACAUUGCAAAGUUAGCGUUGUGCAGGAAAGAUAACAGAUAACAGCAAUGAAAUCGAUUCUCCAGCCAGCUGGCGUUUUGAGCGGCUUAAACUUUAUUUUGAGUGAGGAAAUUGUUCUAGCCUAUAACGUAAGGGAAGAAGGCCCUUAGGACCCACAAAGAAUUUUUUGCAGCUUUGCUAGAAUGUAUUCCGCCUGGCGAUGAGCCCCCCGAAAACACUGUGCGGAAGGCAAUGCAAAGGAUGAAGAAAAGGGUGUUUAAGAAGAAGUGUCUUGCCAAAAACCAGGAGUAGGCUAAGCAUCAUAUAAUUAAAAAUUAUUCGUUAUAAUGAAA